rnacentral:rRNA from 1 species
GACGAACGCUGGCGGCGUGCUUAAUACAUGCAAGUCGAACGAAGUGGCGAACGGGUGAGUAACGCGUAAUCAACCUGCCCUUCAGAGGGGGACAACAGUUGGAAACGACUGCUCAUACCGCAUACUGAAGGAGGGGAUUGCGUCUGAUUGGGCAGUUGGAGGGGUAACGGCCCACCAGGGCGAUGAUCAGUAGCCGGUCUGAGAGGAGGAACGGCCAAAUUGGGACUGAGACACGGCCCAGACUCCUACGGGAGGCAGCAGGGGGGAAUCUUCCGCAAUGGAAGAAAGUCUGACGGAGCAACGCCGGGGGAGGGAUGACGGCCUUCGGGUUGUAAAGCUCUGUUAAUCGGGACGCGGUACCGGAAUAGAAAGCCACGGCUAACUACGUGCCAGCAGCCGCGGUAAUUC